AAUGCCGAAAGCGAGGAGGCGGGAUAAAAGAGCGAGGCCGAAGGUAGGCUGGCAGAUACGUUCGUUAGAUUACUCCUUUCUGCCUGUGGACGCCGCCGGGGAAGCAUCGUUGAACUCUCUCUUCUCACUGCCGUCAUGUCUAAGUCCGAGUCUCCCAAAGAGCCGGAGCAGCUGCGGAAACUCUUUAUUGGAGGGUUGAGCUUUGAAACAACCGAUGAGAGCCUGAGGAGCCAUUUUGAGCAAUGGGGAACGCUCACAGACUGCGUGGUAAUGCGAGAUCCAAACACCAAGCGCUCCAGGGGCUUUGGGUUUGUCACGUAUGCCACUGUGGAGGAGGUAGAUGCAGCCAUGAAUGCAAGGCCACACAAGGUGGAUGGAAGAGUUGUGGAACCAAAGAGGGCUGUCUCAAGAGAAGAUUCUCAAAGACCGGGUGCCCACUUAACUGUGAAAAAGAUAUUUGUUGGUGGCAUUAAAGAAGACACUGAAGAACAUCACCUAAGAGAUUAUUUUGAACAGUAUGGUAAAAUCGAAGUGAUUGAAAUCAUGACUGACCGUGGCAGUGGCAAGAAGAGGGGCUUUGCUUUUGUGACCUUUGAUGAUCAUGAUUCUGUGGAUAAGAUUGUCAUUCAGAAAUACCAUACUGUGAAUGGCCACAACUGUGAAGUAAGGAAAGCCCUGUCCAAACAAGAAAUGGCUAGUGCUUCCUCCAGCCCUAGAGGUCGAAGUGGUUCUGGAAACUUCGGUGGUGGUCGAGGAGGUGGUUUUGGUGGUAAUGACAACUUUGGUCGUGGAGGAAACUUCAGUGGUCGUGGUGGCUUUGGUGGCAGCCGUGGUGGUGGCGGAUACGGUGGAAGUGGGGAUGGCUAUAAUGGAUUUGGUAAUGAUGGUGGUUAUGGAGGAGGCGGCCCUGGUUACUCUGGAGGAAGCAGAGGCUAUGGAAGUGGUGGACAGGGUUAUGGAAACCAGGGCAGUGGCUAUGGCGGGAGUGGCAGCUAUGACAGCUAUAACAACGGAGGAGGCGGAGGCGGCUUUGGCGGUGGUAGUGGAAGCAAUUUUGGAGGUGGUGGAAGCUACAACGAUUUUGGCAAUUACAACAAUCAGUCUUCAAAUUUUGGACCCAUGAAGGGUGGCAACUUUGGAGGCAGAAGCUCUGGCCCUUAUGGAGGUGGAGGCCAAUACUUUGCCAAACCACGAAAUCAAGGUGGCUAUGGCGGUUCCAGCAGCAGCAGUAGCUAUGGCAGUGGCAGAAGGUUCUAAUUAACUGCCAGGGAGGAAUCUGCUACAGCAGACUUAUCAGCCCUUUUUAAAAACAUCUAUCCAAGCUCAUGGCUAAAAGGAACAUCCUUGUGAGGACAACCUUUGUCUGAGCCAUGUCUGAACCACUGUACUUCAUUCUCACUGCCAUGCAGUUGUCAUUAGCUGCUCUGCAGCUCUAUCAUUCAAUUUUGUGAAUAGGUCUUUUAAUAAACUCCAUUAACUUCUG